CUUGAGCGAGCCGAGCCACAGCGGACGCUCGGGGUCGCGCUCCUGGCCGUAGGUGGCCAGCAGCGCCUGCGCCUC
rnacentral:antisense_RNA from 1 species